AUAAAAAUGACCCAAUCCGGGGUCCGAUUCAACAUAAUAAAAGGAAACCCUAAACCUCAAAGUGUGGAGGGCUCCUUUUUGUCUAUUUUUUCGAUUCAUUUCUGACUCGUUCCCCGCCUCCGCAAAGCUGCUUCCUUUCCCUUGUUCGAGAUAUUUUCUCUAAAGCAGCAGCUACUGCACCUUGCCUCCUCUUUUUUGAUGAAUUUGAUUCCAUUGCCCCUAAAAGAGGACAUGACAACACUGGAGUAACUAAUCGAGUUGUCAAACAAUUCCUAACUGAAUUAGAUGGUGUUGAAGUUUUGACUGGUGUAUUUGUGUUUGCUGCAACAAGGUUAGUUCUCAUGGAAUCUAAUUGUAUUAUUUUGCUAGUAUCUAUUCUUAAUCUUCGGUUAAUCCCCAUAAUGUUGAGUUUGGUUCAUUAUUAUCUUCAUGGGAUCGAUUUUGACAUGAGAUGCAUACCCAAACAAGAUAGCUUUUCAAGUAGCACAAAAUUUUAACCACAUCUAUCAGCUUUAUUAUCAGGAUUAAUUGAUCAAUUUUGAUGUACAUCUGUCACUGAUUUACUCAAAAAUUUAAAAUUUUUUGUAUAUUUGAAGAAAUAACUUGUAUAUUACAGUUGUAUUCCAUUACAUUCAAUCAAACGAUUGAAUUACUGAUUACAACUCUAUUCUAUUAGAGUGAAUUACUGAUUACAACUCUAUUCUGCAACAAUGUUAGUUCUCAUGGAAUCCAAUUGUAUUAUUUUGCUAGUAUCUAUUCUUAAUCUUCGGUUAAUCCCCAUAAUGUUGAGUUUGGUUCAUUAUUAUCUUCAUGUGAUCAAUUUUGACAUGAGAUGCAUACCCAAAUAAGAUAGCUUUUCAAGUAGCACAAAAUUUUAACCACAUGUGUCAGCUUUAUUAUCAAGAUUAAGUGAUCAAUGUUGGAUUUUGAUGUACAUCUGUCACUGAUUUACUCAAAAAUUUAAAAUUUUUUGUAUAUUUGAAGAAAUAACUAGUAUAUUAGAGUUGUAUUUCACUACAUUCAAUCAAACAAUUGAAUUAAUGAUUACAACUCUAUUCUAUUAUAGCUUUAUUCCAUUCCAGUGAACCAAACAUACCAUUAGAGAAUGAAUCCACGCAUUCCAUUACAGUUUUAUUUCAUUCCAGUGAACCAAACAUGCCAUUAGAGAAUGAAGCCACGCACCCCAUCCCUUUUUUACCAACUGUUGAUCCAAUACAUCAACAAUGGUGAGAUGAGCAUGGAUCAAACACGCGACCUUCAGAUCUUUAGUCUAAUGCUUAGAAUGAACCCGCCAAAGAGUUUGUGUUCUCUGUGAUGUUAAGGUCGUUAUCAUCGUCUCUUCAAUACUGGCAAAAUAUUUAGGUUCUUUAUUUCUGGUUCAAAUUGAAACCUGCAACUAGGCGCCCCAAACUUUGCAUGUUUGGUUUUGCAUCAAGAACUUUUGCCUCCGUUUAAAAAAUUCAACUUCAGCCAAAAGGGUCAAUUUUUUAUCUUUCAAAACCUGCCAUCUCUCUUAUAGCCUCUGUUUCCUUGAGCAAGUCGUCGAAGUCUUGCGUAAGGCUGUGGUGCUUGAACCUAUUCCUUUGGUCCUCGUAUAUGGGGUAUAGAGAAUACUCUACAGAAGCAGCAACGCAUUUAAUCUUCUUUAUGUUUCAGAACACAGGGAUGAUAUUAAGAGACCCACAAAUAUGGAUACGAAAAAGAGACAAGGGUAUUUGACAAGAAAUAAAGAGAUGAGGGUAAGAAAUAAUAAAAAAUGAAAGAAAAAGUGUUGAAAGAAAGAGGAAGGUUCUGGCUUUCCUGUUUACUCUGUGAAAACUUUGACCAAGACAAAGGCUGGGUAAAACAAAAAAAAAAGGGAUUUUUAGAGAGUAGAGACAAUGAUGAAGAUGACUUUUGGGGGGGGGGAUUUGCAGAUGGGUAUUUGUGGUAAAUAUGCUUUUGAUUGGUUUGAGAAAGUUGGAUGGAGCACAUUGAAAGACACAUAUAUUAUCAUCCCCCUAUUUAUUCUUUUUGGUUGAUCUUCUACAUAAAAACUUUGGUCCAACAAAGUUGAUUUGGUUCAUUUAAGAAAGAGGGUGAUGUGUGGACUGAGUUUUGGAGAGUGGGUGCGUGGAGUUUUCCCCGUGUUUCUUUUUAGUCGAGGAGCAGCGGUGCCCAGUGGUGAUGGGGAGAUGUCGAGAGGAAGCGAGUAGCACCGAUAGAAGAUACAUGCACCAAUUACAAAUUCACGGUUUUAUGGUUUUCUACUUCUAAUCGCUUUUAAGCUCCCAAAUAUCUAUUUAUUCUCUAACCUAAUUUAUUUAUUUCCUUUUAGAAUUUGAUUGUUUACUUUGAGAAGUUAAGUUAUAUUCUGGGGAGCAUUUGAUUUUAGGGAUUUCAAUUUGGAAUUUCUUUAUCUGUGAUGGUUGUGGUAUAUUUAUUGACUCUAAUGAAAGAGCUUUGUCUCUGGCCCAUGUUUACAAAAUCAAAGCUACAUGCCUGUUGUUGUUUCUCCUUCUCAAAACAUAUUCCUGCAAAUGGCUGGAGCACAUACUUGGACUAGUAGGUAUGCCUUAAGGUAACUAAAUAUAAUUUUUACAUGUUAAUUGUUAUGUUUGCAUGAUCUUUAUCCACAAUGGACCUAGCAAAUGAGAAAUCCAAUUUAAUUUACAUGUUUUGCUGCAUGACUAAGCACGAUCUCAAAGUGUGGAGAUGGCUAUGUCUAGUAUCAGGUUUGGUUACUACCAAGUCGAAAAAGAAUCGCUGAAAAAUUAGUACAAGUUUACUUUUAGUUUCUGAAGGACUUGGAGGUCUGUUGUUAACUGUCAACAUAAUUUAGUUGUUAAUGGCUUGUAAAUAAUUCACCACCAGGGCUUAUAUUAUGUUUACAUACAGCACAAUUAAAAGACACCAGCUCGCGACAUGUUUUACUUUGAAGUUAACUGUUUAAUGCUAGUUUCAAAGUUGUUAAUCUAUAUUCAAGAGAGUUAUUUUCUUAUUGAUGAAAUAAAUAGAAUUUAUACUUAACCUAUGAUAUUUGGAUCUGUCUCUAAUGAGUACUCCCUUCGACGAGUUGAACUUUAUAUAGGAUAGGUUGUUCAAGAAACAAGAACAAAGGGGAUUUGCUUCUUCUUAUUGUUUUGAUGAGAUAUCCAUAUCUCCAAAUAAGUGUUACUAACCAUGGUAACUUUUUGGCCGUUUGUUUAGCAGUUUUUGUUAAUGGUAUGUUUUUAUAAACAUGGACAUUUUGCCUUUUAGCAGAGGCAUUUACACAUGCAGAUCUCUGCGGCCUUUUGAUAUAAAGUUACUUUUUGAAGAUAUAUUAUUUUCGCAUAACCUUUACUAGGAUGGCGUGUAGGAUUAGUGAUAACUGGUUUGUUUUGUUUAAAAAAUAGCUUAUAGUUUAUAUAUGAUUUUUUUAUACGAAAUUGGUUUUUGUAUAUGCUAACAUUUUGUAGGUAAGAUCAAAUUAAAUCACCUAUAGUAGAUGUUAUCCUCUCUACUUAUCUCCCCUUUACUAAAGUUCAGGUUAUGUAUUACUGCAUACGGUAGAUCCUGGUUGCUUGAACUUUGCAAUAUAUGAAGACUCGUUUACUCAGUUGUCACACCUGAACUUCUUCCUUUGUCAUCUCCUUUGAUUUUUUUCCCCUAUGUGGUAUUUCAUCACCAGGUAUACUGUUCAACCUAACAUUUUAUUGCCUUUGCAUUUCUAAGCUAUAUAAAGCUUCCAUGCUAGUUUGCAUGUUAUUCAUAGAAUUAGAUUGAGAACAGGUUCAUCGUAUGAAAUUACAACAUGAAUAUUAUUUAAUUAGAUAUUUGUAUGCUUUCCGCCUUCUUUUAUUUUUGUUGAUGUUUUUAAUAGUUCGCUUGACACUCAUAUCGCGACCUUCGAUGUCCAACACAGUUAGCGAGAGCAAAGCUCCUAGCUGUCAUAUUAAGGCUUACAGGUGAAGAGCCACAACUUCCAAACAGUUAGUGAGAGCAAAGCUCCCAACUGUUAUAUUUAGGCUCGCAGGUGAAUAGUCGCAAUCUCUAACACAGGUUGUGAGUGCAAAACUCCCAGCUGUCAUCGGGGCUCGCAUGUGAAAAAUCAUAGCCACAACACAGUUAGCGAGAGUUAAAAGCUCCUAGCUGUCAUACUAGGUCUCGUAGAUAUUCUAAAGGCUCGCCGGUUUAAUAUCGCGACCUCCAAAACAGCUCGCGGACCUAUGUUCUCGGCUUAUAUUAUAGAGGUUAGCUGAUUUAAAAUUGCAACCUUCAAUUAUUUAAGUUGGCUGAUUUAAGAUCACAGCCUCCAAACAGCUCGCUGAUUUAAGAUCGAAACUAAUAUUGAAUAAAUUUCAAUUAGUCCGCUAAUUUACAAAUUUUUCUUAUGAAAUAUAGUUCACAGUAUUCUGCA